AAAUAAAUUUUUUAUGGUUUAAAAAAUUUAUUUUAAGUUUAUAUUACAUAUAAAUUUUAGUGUUAAUUAUUAAUUAUUUAAAUAAUAUUUAAUAUUUUAAUAGUAAUUAAUUUUAAAAAUUUAAGAAAUUAAGAUUUAGUAAUAUUAUAAUUAAUAACUAAUUUUGUGCCAGCAGUUGCGGUUAUACAAAAGUUAAUUUGAAUUUUUUUAGUAAAUAAUUAAUAAUUAAUUAAAUAUAAUUUAAAUUUUAAAUUAUAAAGUGAAAUUUUAAUUAAAAAAAAAUUAUUAUUAAUUUAUGAUUUAGUAAAUUUUAUAAUAAACUAGGAUUAGAUACCCUAUUAUUAAAAAUUUAAUUUAAUAAAAUACUUAAAUAGUAAGUAAUUGUUUAUUAAAACUUAAAUAAUUUGGCGGUAUUUUAGUUCAUUUAGAGGAAUCUGUUUAAUAAUUGAUAAUUCACGAAUAAAUUUACUUAAUUUUAUAUUUUGUAUAUCGUUGUUAAAAAAAUAUUUUUUAAUAAUUUUAAUAUUUAAAAAUUUAUAUAUUAAAUUUAAAUCAGAUCAAGAUGCAGAUUAUGGUUAAGAAUAAAUGGAUUACAAUAAAAUAAUUUAAUUGGAUUUAAAUAUGAAAUUAUUUAAUAAAAUUGGAUUUAAAUGUAAUUUUAUAUAAAUUUAUAAAAUGAUUAUAUAUAUUAAAAUAUGUACAUAUUGCCCGUCGCUUUCAUUUAUAAGUUGGAAUAAGUCGUAACAAAGUAGAGGUACUGGAAAGUGUUUCUAGAAAGAU
rnacentral:ncRNA from 1 species